UACGUAGGGGGCAAGCGUUGUCCGGAUUUAUUGGGCGUAAAGAGCUCGUAGGUGGUUCGGUAAGUCGGAUGUGAAAUCUCCAGGCUCAACCUGGAGGGGUCAUUCGAUACUGCCGUGACUAGAGUUCGGUAGGGGAGUGUGGAAUUCCUGGUGGAGCGGUGAAAUGCGCAGAUAUCGGGAGGAACACCGGUGGCGAAGGCGGCAUCCUGGACCGGUAUUGACGCUGAGGCGCGAAAGCCAGGGGAGCAAAGCGGG
rnacentral:rRNA from 1 species